UCACAAUAAAAUACACUGUCAAAAUAAAAUUACAAAUAUCUCCUGAGAUGCAGUUGUCUAGCUGGCCAUCGGGAGAUUCUUUACCAUGAUUUGCAUCCUAAACUCUAGAGAUUUUUUUUCUUAGACUUGGAGAAGACCUUCAACAAUAAAAGGAGGAGAUUUGGUGGAGAAUAGGUUGAGAGAAGUGGGUUUGGAAGAAGUUGGA
rnacentral:lncRNA from 1 species